rnacentral:rRNA from 1 species
GACGAACGCUGGCGGCGUGCUUAACACAUGCAAGUCGAGCGGAAAGGCCACUUCGGUGGUACUCGAGCGGCGAACGGGUGAGUAACACGUGAGUAAUCUGCCCCUGGCUUUGGGAUAGCCACCGGAAACGGUGAUUAAUACCGGAUAUGACCACUUCUCGCAUGGGUUGUGGUGGAAAGUUUUUCGGCCAGGGAUGUGCUCGCGGCCUAUCAGCUUGAUGGUGAGGUAAUGGCUCACCAUGGCUUCGACGGGUAGCCGGCCUGAGAGGGUGACCGGUCACACUGGGACUGAGACACGGCCCAGACUCCUACGGGAGGCAGCAGUGGGGAAUAUUGGACAAUGGGCGGAAGCCUGAUCCAGCAACGCCGCGUGAGGGAUGACGGCCUUCGGGUUGUAAACCUCUUUCAGCAGGGACGAAGCGCAAGUGACGGUACCUGCAGAAGAAGCACCGGCCAACUACGUGCCAGCAGCCGCCGUAACAC